UCAAAAAAAGUCUGCACACGGAUUCUAAAAAUCUUCAUUUUCAGAUAAAUUUGCAUAUCUGGUAUCCCUGAUUACAAUAAUACGAUGGUGACACGUCACAAAUUAUUCACUAACGUAUAUAGACACUGUAUUUUUACUAGUAUGAAAACACAUGAACAACCCCCUUUUGACCAUGUUAAACGACAAAUUUUUACUUAGACUCAAGUUUUUUAAAUCUAUUAAAAUGGGACCAUUUUGCAUAUUUCAACAUAUAAUAUACUGUAUAGUUCGUUUCGAAUGCACAUUUCUCUUAAAAUAGUAUAGCGUGAAAAAGGCAGAACAGUUGAUUAAUGGCAGUGGGUUUUUUUAAAGACUGCUUAUUACACACAACAUUGAUCUUAUAUGAAUGAAUAAUUCUUUGUUUUCUACUCACGUAUUCUAGUUUAACGUAUUUAACAUUUUAUUUCCUAAAUUAAUGCGACGUAUUAAUUUAGCCAAAAUCGAUAUCUAUUUAAGUACUACAUGAUCGCCCCGCAUAAUCAAUAACCACAAAACGUGCUUAACCCUCUAGUGCCCAAGUUAAUUUCUAGACGGGCUUCGGUAAAAUCACUAUGAAUCAUUAUAAACACUUUUUAAGUAUUCAUUGAAGCUUUUUAGAGGUUCGACUGAAGCCCGCCAAAUGGCGGCAUUGGGCACUAGAGGGUUAACAACUAGUUCGGGAUAUAGUCACGACUGUUAAACCAUAUGGAUUAUCAUUCGUUCAUGGUUAUUGAUUAUGCCGAGCAGUUUUCCAACUGCGAAAUUUGGCACACGAUCUGCUGGUUCACAUUUUGACAGUUUAUACUGGUUUCCCAUAUUCGCUUCGCCAGAAAAUAGUCAGUUUUUAGUACUGACACCGUACACCGUAAUCAUUAUUAUUAUAUAUUUUAUAUUAUAUAUACUAUCCUCAGUUUCGCUGAUGACUACUGGAUCCUCGAACAUAACAAAAGAUGGGAGUAUGAAAAAUAAUGAUAUACAUAAAAACACUGCGACGUAAUUUUAGCCGUAAUUUUAACCGACGUAAUUUAGCCGUAAUUUUAGUAAUUUUAGUAAUUUAAUUUUUUUUUAUUUUUUUUUAUUUUUUUUUAGGGAGAUAUUUUUCCAACUUUUUGAAUUUUUGACACCAAAAUUGAAUUUUCCAGAAAAAAAUCAACCUGAUAUGGAUUUUCUGCUUUUUAAAUGAACAUUUUGGGUUUUGUCCGACUUUUGUUCGGAGACCCGCCACUGUGCGACGCCAAGAGUUUUGUUUGUGAACACGUAAAAAAAAAGUUUAGUUUUCGUUCGUGCGCGCAUUUUUAUAAUUUUGAAUGAAAUCUCGCCAAACAUGUGAAAAGGGCCCAUGUGCCAUAUGUAAACAAGCCAAAUUUUCUCGUUUUUUGAUCAAUACAAGCGAAAUCUGCUCUUACCAAUAAGAUUUAUUGAUAAAAGAAUUUACUCUUAAUCAAACAAUUUUAUUUGUACGAGUAGAUUAAGCUUGUGUUCAUUGAAAAUCGUGAAAUUGUGGCUUGUUUACAUAUGGCACUUGGGCCCUUUUCACAUGUUCAGCGGGAAAUAUCAACGUCGCAGCACUAAAUCGAAAUCGCGACUUCAAAUAUCCUUACGUGGGAUGUAAUGCGCUAUACAGCGCACUAUUUGCGACGUAAGGUACAAUGUAUAAUGUGCGGCAUGCGAGUAAAAUCAAUUGUCGCCAGUCGACAACUACAAUUUUCAACUAAAUGGAUUAUAUAAAAUAAGUGAGAACAGAGGUUUCGAAUCACCAAUUUUCCCAUUUUUGGACAAAGUUGAACUAUGAUCGAACAAUAAUCGGGGUCAACUAUUCGAUUAUUCAAUAAUCGAAAAGUCAGUUAUUCGAUUAAAAAUUAAUCGAAUAUUUCCGCAAAUAAUCGAUUAACUCGAUUAAUCGAGAAGUAAUCGGACAUCACUAGUCAUACCUACUUGGCAUAGUUAUUACAACGCGCUUGAAACCUCUGAUGUUGUGUUGUUAAAUCAGUGGAAUUGGACCCAGAAAGCGAUCGUCGAAAUUAUGGCUACAAGAAUGCUUACGACGAGGACGAAGAUCAUCAUCACGGCCCCGGGGUGCGAGUGCAGCAGUGUGCUUCCAGCUAAAUAUGCUCUCGCUAGAGAACAAAUAUCACCGUGUAUGGAAAAAGCACGAAAGAGUAGAUGAUGGUCGUAAACGUGUGCGCGCAUUAGAUGCUAAAUUAGAAACAUAGUUUUUUUCUUAACCAAAUCGCCGAAAACUCAUCACAUGCAGCAACAAUUCUCCCCACGUUUUUCAACAGAUUGGAAUACCAUGUAGAAGAUAGAGAAUGUUUUGUAUCAUUUUUACAUCUGAAUUGGUUUGACGCGGAUAAAUAAAUUGAAUUUAUUACAGUUGAAAAGCGGAAAUCAAUUUUUGUACAAUGUUUUCGUCGUUCAUUCCAAAUGAGCUUCGCAAAUUGAAUUCAUUACCUGUAAAUCUACAAUUAUGACAUAUUAAACGAAGCGAAUUUUAGCCUUUGUACUAUCAUAUUUCAAUACAAAUGUUUUCAUUUUACAAUAUUUCUUUCCUGCUACGUAUCAAAUUACUCAAUUUAACAAUGGAACCAAGUGAACCUAUGUUGAAAAUUUUCAAUUCAUGCUUAUGUUAUACAAAUAGUUCCCAACCAUGAGCAACGAUCGGAAAAUAGUGAACGUAAUAUGAUUGUACAUGAUAAGCAGUGUAAUCAACAAAAUUAAAAAAAUACAACUACUAGCUAAAGGCAUAUUUAAUGGAAAAACACCUUAUACCAUAAAAGUAUGGAACGAGUAAAUACUAUUUCAAAUGUUCCACCCUCAUUUGAACAGGAGCUAACGACAGAAAUAAUAUAUUUUAUGAUUGUCCACUUCCGUA